UGGGGAAUAUUGCACAAUGGGGGAAACCCUGAUGCAGCAACGCCGCGUGGAGGAAGAAGGUUUUCGGAUUGUAAACUCCUGUCUUUUGGGACGAUAAUGACGGUACCAAAAGAGGAAGCCACGGCUAACUACGUGCCAGCAGCCGCGGUAAUACGUAGGUGGCGAGCGUUGUCCGGAAUUACUGGGCGUAAAGGGCGCGUAGGCGGCUAAUCAAGUCAGAUGUGAAAACCCUAGGCUUAACCUGGGGGUUGCAUUUGAAACUGAUUAGCUCGAGUGUCGGAGAGGAAAGCGGAAUUCCUAGUGUAGCGGUGAAAUGCGUAGAUAUUAGGAGGAACACCAGUGGCGAAGGCGGCUUUCUGGACGAUAACUGACGCUGAGGCGCGAAAGCGUGGGGAGCAAACAGG
rnacentral:rRNA from 1 species